ensembl:piRNA 21ur-2059 ncRNA
UGAGACUUGAGACUACCGUUG